UACGAAGGGGGCUAGCGUUGUUCGGAAUCACUGGGCGUAAAGCGCACGCAGGCGGAUCGAUAAGUCGGGGGUGAAAGACCGGGGCUCAACCUCGGAAUUGCCUUCGAUACUGUCGGUCUCGAGUCCGGGAGAGGUGAGUGGAAUUCCUAGUGUAGAGGUGAAAUUCGUAGAUAUUAGGAAGAACACCAGUGGCGAAGGCGGCUCACUGGCCGGGUACUGACGCGCAGGUGCGAAAGCGUGGGGAGGAAACAGG
rnacentral:rRNA from 1 species